rnacentral:rRNA from 1 species
AGCAUAUCAUUAAGCGGAGGAAAGAAACUAACAAGGAUUCCCCCAGUAACGGCGAGUGAAGCGGGAAGAGCUCAAGCUUAAAAUCUCCAUACUUGUAUGGCGAAUUGUAGUCUAUUGAGGCUGUUGUCAGCAUCGCGAUUGGGGACAAGUCCCUUGGAAAAGGGCAGCAUAGAGGGUGAUACUCCCGUCUCUGCUCCAAUCUGCGGUGUGUACGAUACGCUUUCUUUGAGUCGAGUUGUUUGGGAAUACAGCUCAAAGUAGGUGGUAAAUUCCAUCUAAAGCUAAAUAUUGGUGCGAGACCGAUAGCGAACAAGUACCGUGAGGGAAAGAUGAAAAGAACUUUGAAAAGAGAGUUAAAGAGUACCUGAAACUGUUGAAAGGGAACCGUAUCGUUUCCAGUGUUGUAUCCUAUGCAUAUUUCAUUCGUGGAGCAAUUUGCGGGUGCCCUGUGCAUGGGUGUGACGUCAGGGUCAGUUUGUAUGCUGCGGGAGAUGGUCAGUGAGGAGGUGCGUCACUUCGGUGAAAGUUAUAUCUCGCUGUCUAGUAGCCGUGGUUGAGACUGAGGUGCCUACAACAUGCCUUAAGGUUCCGUGUUGUCUCGUGUUGGUGACUGCUUUGAUAGCUUGCUAUGUUUGUGGUUUAUUAGUGCGAUUGAUGAUGCGGAUAACUUUUGCUGUUCGGGACUCUGGCGAAAUGGAGCGAUAC